AGUGGCGGACGGGUGAGUAACGCGUGAGAAUCUGCCUUGGGGUCGGGGACAACCACUGGAAACGGUGGCUAAUACCGGAUAAGCCGAUUGGUGAAAGAUUUAUUGCCCGAAGAGGAGCUUGCGUCCGAUUAGCUAGUUGGUAAGGUAAAAGCUUACCAAGGCGACGAUCGGUAGCCGGUCUGAGAGGACAAUCGGCCACACUGGGACUGAGACACGGCCCAGACUCCUACGGGAGGCAGCAGUGGGGAAUUUUCCGCAAUGGGCGCAAGCCUGACGGAGCAAGACCGCGUGGGGGAGGAAUGCCUUAGGGUUGUAAACCCCUUUUAUCUGGGAAGAACAAAAUGACGGUACCAGAUGAAUAAGCCUCGGCUAACUCCGUGCCAGCAGCCGCGGUAAUACGGAGGAGGCAAGCGUUAUCCGGAUUUAUUGGGCGUAAAGCGUUCGCAGGUGGUUCUUCAAGUCUGCUGUUAAAGACAGUGGCUCAACUACUGAAAGGCAGUAGAUACUGAAGGACUAGAGUGCGGUAGGGGCAGAGGGAAUUCCCGGUGUAGCGGUGAAAUGCGUAGAUUUCGGGAAGAACAUCGGUGGCGAAAGCGCUCUGCUGGGCCGCAACUGACACUCAGGGACGAAAGCUAGGGGAGCGAAUGGGAUUAGAUACCCC
rnacentral:rRNA from 1 species